CCUACGGGUGGCAGCAGUAGGGAAUAUUGCUCAAUGGGGGAAACCCUGAAGCAGCAACGCCGCGUGGAGGAUGAAGGUUUUCGGAUUGUAAAAUCCUUUUGUUAGAGAAGAUAAUGACGGUAUCUAACGAAUAAGCACCGGCUUACUCCGUGCCAGCAGCCGCGGUAAUACGGAGGGUGGACGCGUUACUCGGAAUCACUGGGGUUAAAGAGCGCGUAGGCGGGAUAGCAAGGCAGAUGUGAAAUCCUAUGGCUUAACCAUAGAACUGCAUUUGAAACUGUUGUUCUUGAGUAUGGGAGAGGUAUGUGGAAUUCUUGGUGUAGGGGUAAAAUCCGUAGAGAUCAAGAGGAAUACUCAUUGCGAAGGCGACCUGCUACAACAUAACUGACGCUGAUGCGCGAAAGCGUGGGGAGCAAACAGGAUUAGAUACCCUGGUAGUC
rnacentral:rRNA from 1 species